AUCGUAAUAUGGAAUUGUGACAAAUCCAAACCGGCAUUGAUGUGCUUUAAAUAACAUUCUUUAAAUUAUGCGUGUGGCUGGUAUCUGUUUUAAAUAAUAAACCGUAUAAUUAACAGAGCCAUCCUCUAAGACUCGGUACCAUAAUGAGAUCGUUUACAUUUGAUUAUCCCACCCAUCUUCAACUUAGGAGUAUGGUGGAAACCUUCGCAAAUAAAGCAUCUACACAGCCCCACAGCGGUGAUAGCUAUAUGGAAAUCGCGAAUCAACUUGUGUGGUUUCCUUUUGUUUCUUUAAAUACGACUGAUAUGUCAUCAACAGUUGUUUCUAGUGAAUGUAGUAAGGAAUUUUGCGUCUUUCAGAAUAAUCCACUCAAGAAAUUGACGUUGAAUACUACUAUAAAUUCCGGGGUUUUUCAUCUGCAUGUUACGUAGGUUAAAUGGAGAAAGUUAACAAUAUGUAUUUCUACAGAUUUCCAAGACAAACUAAAGAGUUGCAUCUGAUGUGGAGUAGUCCUUGUAAGCUGUGAAGGCGGAGGGAGUUUUGGCUAGUGGAGUUUCAAAAGCAGACUUAAGACUCAGAUAAUCGAAAAAGUCCAAGAUUAAUAGGAAUGCUUUAACAGGGCUACCAGAACUUAAAACAAAGCUACAUCAUGGGAAAAAAUGAAUGAAAACCGCUUAAAGCUUUGUACGAUAGCAGCAACAAGAGCUAGGUAAUGGACAUAUGAAGACAAGGUAUUUGCUCUGUCCUUAUACAAGCAAAACCCUUGCCCAUACAGAUGCAGUUCCCUCCGUGUCUAAGUAUCUACAUUACCUGGGAGAGAACAUCCUGUAGACGUAGAUUGUAGGGAAUGCCUGAGUAGGCAUACUCUGUUUAAAACAGCGAUAACUUGAAGCGUAAGACUGGCGCACUGAACUGCUGCAGAAACAAAGCGAUGUAUAGAUGUCAGAUGAUAAUCUUGUGUUCGUCAUCAAAAUGAAAGUUGUAACACACUCAGGAAAUGAGCACAGGAGAGCAGAUGUAGGAAUCAAGUGUCACUGCACUCGGUGAGGUUGUAAUGGAGUUGGUUUGCGGUAGGAUGAAACCCAGUGCUGGUCCAUGGGCCUACUGUUCUCAAAAAGUACGUUGCGGCUGCUGAGCUCAACUCUAAAUCUGAAGAACAUAAAGUGUCACAUGCCUUCACAUCAAGAGACAGUGUAAGAAGGUACAAAUGUAAUCCAGGACAUUAGCGCAAAAUGUGAUCACGAACGUUACCCCAUCACCUCUCAUCCCUUUGUCACCCAAAUACUGGCAUUGAAAAUUUUCCACCACCAGGAUGACUUGCAUCCAAGUUGAGAGCCACCACACAGAACUUUGUUAGCAACCUUGGUUAUGAAGAUGGGGCCAUCUCACCACAAUCGUAGAAAUUUCAAAGCAAUAGGCCUACUGCUGUGUUAACAUUGCCAAGUUCUGUAAACAUUCUCCUGUUUGUUUUUACCCCAAAUGUCAUAUAAGAGUGGGAUCCAACACACUCUCUACAUCAUUUGUCCACUAAAUUCAAAUGGUCGGUGGAGGAAAGAUGUUUGUUUAUGUUCAUCCAUAAAUAAACAUUUAUUUGCACUCAAUGUCAUCAAGAUUAAAGCUGAUAACUGAAGAUCUAGCUGAAGCCUCUUCAGGCUUCUUAUACUUAAAUGCCAAUACACAUAUUCCCUAACGGUAUUUGUGGACAACAGAAACUUUAAUGAACUCGGCAAUUCACAAACACAGUACUACAGGUAGAAAUAAUUUACUUCUCCUGGUUUAAAAGGGAGUUUUAUAUUCUGGUGCAAAAGAUUGUAACAGGUGGACUGUAGAAAAGAAACUAAACAUUCCCACCUAUCCAUAUAAACGGCAAGUUGACAUAUCCUGAGCAUGUGAAUUUGUUGAAAACAAGUGACCAGUCAGUGUGUAAAAAAGAGUCGAGCUAAGACACUAAAAGUAAGUUGUCAGUCAGCGUGUGAAAAUAAUCAAGCUGUAUACGGAAAAAAAAGAGGAAGUAUCCAGUCUAUGUGUGAAAGCAAACAAGCUACUGCAUGUUUGUUUUGCUUCACAAUUGCUAAAUAUGUAUGGGAAUUGGACAUACAUCCUAAUCUCCUUCUCCCCUCCUGUCGCCUACCAUCUCCUUUCCCCUCUCUCUGUCCAUCUCCUCCUCUGUCCUCUCUAUAUCCAUUUCUUCCCUCCCUGCCAAUGGCCAUCUCUUCUCUCCCCCUUCUCUCUCUGAGCUUGAGCCUUGCUUGUUAUUACAAUUUUAGUUUCCAUAGUAGUAUUCUAAUCAUAAACCAUAAAUACAAUGUUCCUGUUUCCUGUGAAAACAGACUGCAAGGAAUAAAACAAAACAGUAUAGUUUUGUGUUUACAGUUUGCAUUUAAAAUAUAUAUAAUGAGGUAGAACAUAUAUGGAAGAAAUAAUUUGUCUAGCAGUUUAA